AUUUUAUGAAACUAAUUUACUACUGCUUUUUUGCUUUGCAUCUAAAGCAAAAUCAUACUUUUAACAAAUCUACUUGCUCGUUAUUAGUUCUGCUCAAAAGCAAAUUCAAAAUUUGUUGGCAGUAGCCACAGUACAUCUUAGUAAGUAAAAAAGCAAAAGUUGAAGUAAUGGUCCCCUAAAGUUGACAUUAAGGAGAAGUUGAGUGUUUUCCUGACCAAUAUUGUGCUAAGAU
rnacentral:misc_RNA from 1 species